ACCAAGGCGACGAUCAGUAGCUGUUCUGAGAGGAUGAUCAGCCACACUGGGACUGAGACACGGCCCCAGACUCCUACGGGAGGCAGCAGUGGGGAAUUUUCCGCAAUGGGGGCAACCCUGACGGAGCAACGCCGCGUGCGGGAGGACGGUUUGUGGACUGUAAACCGCUUUUAAUAGGGAAGAAGUACUGACGGUACCUAUUGAAUCAGCAUCGGCUAACUCCGUGCCAGCAGCCGCGGUAAUACGGAGGAUGCAAGCGUUAUCCGGAAUUAUUGGGCGUAAAGGGUCCGCAGGUGGCUUAUCAAGUUAGCUGUUAAAGGCCGGGGCUUAACUCCGGACGAGCAGUUAAAACUGGUAGGCUAGAGUACGGUAGGGGUAGAGGGAAUUCCUAGUGUAGCGGUGAAAUGCGUAGAUAUUAGGAAGAACACC
rnacentral:rRNA from 1 species